rnacentral:rRNA from 1 species
AUUGAACGCUGGCGGCAUGCUUUACACAUGCAAGUCGGACGGCAGCACAGAGAAGCUUGCUUCUUGGGUGGCGAGUGGCGAACGGGUGAGUAAUAUAUCGGAACGUACCGAGUAAUGGGGGAUAACUAAUCGAAAGAUUAGCUAAUACCGCAUAUUCUCUGAGGAGGAAAGCAGGGGACCUUCGGGCCUUGCGUUAUUCGAGCGGCCGAUAUCUGAUUAGCUAGUUGGUGGGGUAAAGGCCUACCAAGGCGACGAUCAGUAGCGGGUCUGAGAGGAUGAUCCGCCAAACUUGGACUGAGACACGGCCCAGACUCCUACGGGAGGCAGCAGUGGGGAAUUUUGGACAAUGGGCGCAAGCCUGAUCCAGCCAUGCCGCGUGUCUGAAGAAGGCCUUCGGGUUGUAAAGGACUUUUGUCAGGGAAGAAAAGGCUGUUGCUAAUACCGACAGCUGAUGACGGUACCUGAAGAAUAAGCACCGGCUAACUACGUG